UACAAACUUCUUAAGUUGGUGCUCAUUUUUCUGGUAGCCACUGCUAGUAUUGAGAGGGUAUUUCCCUUGAUGAAAUAUGUGAAGAAUUCGCUAAGAAACAAAAUGGAUGAUGAAUAUUUGAAGAAUUGCUUGGUUGCAUUCGUUGAGAGAAAAUUCUUCAAGCAAGUGAAAGAUGAUGUCAUCAAUCUCUUCCAAAAAGGGGAUCGUAAAGUCAUAUUGUAA
rnacentral:rRNA from 1 species